UAUGGCCAUAACAUAUUGAAGCACUGGUUCUCGUAUGAUCACUAAAGUUAAGUAAUAUCAAGCCUGGUCAAUACCUAGAUGGGUGACUGCUUGAGAAUACCAGGUACUGUAAG